UUGAGGGGUUCUGUAAAAGGGUUGGAUCCGACGCCUUUUGAAGGCUACUAUAGGCUCUCCUUCUCAACUCCUACUCAAUACGUCCACGUCGUGCAGAACGGUAACUUGUCGCCUAGAUCCAAGCUUGGGUACACGGGGAAACCCAACCCCUUGGGCGGAUGGGCGGCAAGGCUGAAUUGAGAGGU
rnacentral:ribozyme from 1 species